rnacentral:rRNA from 1 species
AUUGAACGCUGGCGGCAGGCUUAACACAUGCAAGUCGAGCGGGGGAAGGUAGCUUGCUACUGGACCUAGCGGCGGACGGGUGAGUAAUGCUUAGGAAUCUGCCUAUUAGUGGGGGACAACAUCUCGAAAGGGAUGCUAAUACCGCAUACGUCCUACGGGAGAAAGCAGGGGAUCUUCGGACCUUGCGCUAAUAGAUGAGCCUAAGUGGGAUUAGCUAGUUGGUGGGGUAAAGGCCUACCAAGGCGACGAUCUGUAGCGGGUCUGAGAGGAUGAUCCGCCACACUGGGACUGAGACACGGCCCAGACUCCUACGGGAGGCAGCAGUGGGGAAUAUUGGACAAUGGGGGGAACCCUGAUCCAGCCAUGCCGCGUGUGUGAAGAAGGCCUUAUGGUUGUAAAGCACUUUAAGCGAGGAGGAGGCUACUUUAGUUAAUACCUAGAGAUAGUGGACGUUACUCGCAGAAUAAGCACCGGCUAACUCUGUGCCAGCAGCCGCCGCUG